rnacentral:rRNA from 1 species
UUGAACGCUGGCGGCAGGCCUAACACAUGCAAGUCGAACGGUAACAGGAAACAGCUUGCUGUUUCGCUGACGAGUGGCGGACGGGUGAGUAAUGUCUGGGAAACUGCCUGAUGGAGGGGGAUAACUACUGGAAACGGUAGCUAAUACCGCAUAACGUCGCAAGACCAAAGAGGGGGACCUUCGGGCCUCUUGCCAUCGGAUGUGCCCAGAUGGGAUUAGCUUGUUGGUGGGGUAACGGCUCACCAAGGCGACGAUCCCUAGCUGGUCUGAGAGGAUGACCAGCCACACUGGAACUGAGACACGGUCCAGACUCCUACGGGAGGCAGCAGUGGGGAAUAUUGCACAAUGGGCGCAAGCCUGAUGCAGCCAUGCCGCGUGUAUGAAGAAGGCCUUCGGGUUGUAAAGUACUUUCAGCGGGGAGGAAGGGAGUAAAGUUAAUACCUUUGCUCAUUGACGUUACCCGCAGAAGAAGCACCGGCUAACUCCGUGCCAGCAGCCGCGGUAAUACGGAGGGUGCAAGCGUUAAUCGGAAUUACUGGGCGUAAAGCGCACGCAGGCGGUUUGUUAAGUCAGAUGUGAAAUCCCCGGGCUCAACCUGGGAACUGCAUCUGAUACUGGCAAGCUUGAGUCUCGUAGAGGGGGGUAGAAUUCCAGGUGUAGCGGUGAAAUGCGUAGAGAUCUGGAGGAAUACCGGUGGCGAAGGCGGCCCCCUGGACGAAGACUGACGCUCAGGUGCGAAAGCGUGGGGAGCAAACAGGAUUAGAUACCCUGGUAGUCCACGCCGUAAACGAUGUCGACUUGGAGGUUGUGCCCUUGAGGCGUGGCUUCCGGAGCUAACGCGUUAAGUCGACCGCCUGGGGAGUACGGCCGCAAGGUUAAAACUCAAAUGAAUUGACGGGGGCCCGCACAAGCGGUGGAGCAUGUGGUUUAAUUCGAUGCAACGCGAAGAACCUUACCUGGUCUUGACAUCCACGGAAGUUUUCAGAGAUGAGAAUGUGCCUUCGGGAACCGUGAGACAGGUGCUGCAUGGCUGUCGUCAGCUCGUGUUGUGAAAUGUUGGGUUAAGUCCCGCAACGAGCGCAACCCUUAUCCUUUGUUGCCAGCGGUCCGGCCGGGAACUCAAAGGAGACUGCCAGUGAUGAACUGGAGGAAGGUGGGGAUGACGUCAAGUCAUCAUGGCCCUUACGACCAGGGCUACACACGUGCUACAAUGGCGCAUACAAAGAGAAGCGACCUCGCGAGAGCAAGCGGACCUCAUAAAGUGCGUCGUAGUCCGGAUUGGAGUCUGCAACUCGACUCCAUGAAGUCGGAAUCGCUAGUAAUCGUGGAUCAGAAUGCCACGGUGAAUACGUUCCCGGGCCUUGUACACACCGCCCGUCACACCAUGGGAGUGGGUUGCAAAAGAAGUAGGUAGCUUAACCUUCGGGAGGGCGCUUACCACUUUGUGAUUCAUGACUGGGGUG